UGUUUGAGAAAUUGAAGUUUUUGCAUUUUUUAGGUAUUUGUAUUUCGCGCCACGCUAUACCAUUGGAUAUUGGUGAGGCGUAACAUUAAUAUGAUUAUUUGUACAUAACCAUGGGAAUUAAGUUUCACUUUUAAUUCUUGUAAGUAGGCAGUAUUUCCCUCAUAUGACGUGGCUGGCUUAUGUAAAGUCUGUGCUGGCUAGAGUAUAAAUACCUGUGCACUACAAGUUUGAGCAGGUGAUCUCCUUAUUGUCAUUGCUUCAGUGGACAACAUCAAGAAGCUCCUACAACACCUUGAAGAAAAUAACACCAUUUGCAGCUAAAUCAAGAUGGUAAUCUGGCAGUUCACCGUUGGAGAAAGAUCAAUUCAAUAUUCAUGAAUUUUCAGGGAGUUAUUUAGAUUUUCUGAAUUUGCUUAAACUAAUGUAAAAAACGAAAACUCUUCAAGUGAAAAUUAUAUAGUUGAUGAUGUACUGAGUUACACUAAUGUUUAUAUGACUCUUCUUCUCUCCUUUUUGAGUGUCUCUCACUCACCUCUGGCCGAAAGGGAGCGAACAGGCUGUAUGUUGCCUUAUAACAUACAAACCAAAACUGAUGGGUGAUGCCAUCGACCUAAUCCGUGGGUCAGUGACGCGGCCCAUGGUUAAUAACAGUCAAUGCUAAUCGUGGGUCAGUGACGCGGUCCAUGUCCAGAACAGUCAGCUUUCUCUUCUCUUCCGUCUUCUCAUAUAAAUUACAUACGUUUUGUGCACUUAUUGCAAGAAAUUGUAUAUCUAUUCAUAAAGUAGGCCAUUACCUUGUAUUUGUAAAAUCAAGUAACAUUCUACAAUUUCAUUUAAUUGAUAAGACAUCAAAUGUUUCCUUUAUAUACAUUUUAUGUAUGGAAACAUUUGAGGGCAAAAGUCAAUUACUAACUAUGAAUAAUUUGAGUAAACUAACUUAUGAAUAAUUUCCCCAGAAUUAUGAAGUGACAGAUGGUGUUUCCCCUGCAGCAAAGGACAAUGUGGAUGGAGAUUUUACAGAUCUCAUCAAA